UAAGAGUUGAUGAUCUUGAAACAGGACUACUACUAGACACUUGCCCACCAUUAGAAGUAGUAGUAGCAGUGAUAGUAGGUUGAACUGAAUUAUGAACUUUCUUCUUUCCAAAACAACCAGCAGCCCACAGAAAAUAAAUAAAAGCACAAAUCCCUGCAAAACCCCCCACUGAUCCAACAAUAGCAAAAGCCAGUAAACCCCUUCUUAGCCUUCUAGAAGGUGGCGAAGGCACCACCACUGGCGGCAGCGGCUGCCGUACUUGCGGUGGUGACAGCAAAAGCCAAUAAACCCCUUCUUAGCUUUCUAGAAGGCGGCGAAGGCACUACCGCUGGCGGCAGUGGCUGCCGUACUUGCGGUGGUGAAGUAGGUGGUGCUAAAAUAGAGAAAUCACACGGCCUACAAAUAUUACCAUUUCCAAAACAGAGAUUUUGAGAUUGAGGAUAUAUACC
rnacentral:lncRNA from 1 species